CAAAAUGUCUAAAUUCUUACCCUGAAAUCUGAGCACAGCAUGCAGGUAGUUUGCUGCAAAAUCUUGAGCUGGAAACCAAGGAACUGGGUGCUGAAGCAUCUCUGGGGACUCUGACCUCUCUUGCCACCAUCUGCAAGGCUUUGAACAUAUCCUAAAGUGAAGCUAUGAGGACCGGCAAUGGAGAAGAAGGCAUGUUGUAGGAAAGAUCCUGGAACAUGCAAACCCUUGCUCCGUGCCAGAGAUCUCCGCUAGACUUUGUGCCUUCUCCAGUUCCUUCUUGAGAGCCCAGCACUGCACAUCUCUGAAGUUACGUGAGCACCUAACCAUGACAAUACACACAUAUAAGGAUUUUUUCAGAAGCGCCAAUUCUUCUAAUAGGCUUUAAAUCAGUGGAAGUUAGACAUUGGAAAUGUCACUCACUGUUUAUCUGCAACUAUAAAUAUUUUCAAAUCUGUGGUUAAACCAUUUAUAUUUGUGAUUUAACUACACUGUCUUCUCUAUGAACAUUACUGCAUCAUCACACAUUGUCGAUGCUUGUUUAUUAAUGGGUUUUUUUAUUUUUAAUAAAACCCUCCUAAGUAUGUUUUUUGGGGUGGCAGUUGUUUCUUGUCAGAAGAAGCAACUGCUGGUAAUGAGGGUUAUAUUUAGAUCUUUGCGUUUACUGCAUAAACGAGUGUUUGUCCAUUAACAUUUUCCACAAAUGUAAGCUCUCCCAGUUUAAAACACUUAACUUUGCUUUAACAUUCACUUCCGUCUGCAGGUGAACAGGGCCACCAGAGCCACUAUAGUUCCAUUGACUUUCCACAUGCACCAGGAAGAGAGAGAGUGUCUCGAGCCUUUGUGCAGAGGGCUCCUAGAAUAAUUAAGGUUGGAAGGGAACUCUG